rnacentral:rRNA from 1 species
GACGAACGCUGGCGGCGUGCCUAAUACAUGCAAGUCGAGCGGAAUGAUGAAGAAGCUUGCUUCUUCUGAUUUUAGCGGCGGACGGGUGAGUAACACGUGGGCAACCUGCCCUGUAGACUGGGAUAACUUCGGGAAACCGAAGCUAAUACCGGAUAAUCUUUUGUGCCACAUGGCAUGAAAGUAAAAGUUGGGUUUUACCUAACACUACAGGAUGGGCCCGCGGCGCAUUAGCUAGUUGGUAAGGUAAUGGCUUACCAAGGCGACGAUGCGUAGCCGACCUGAGAGGGUGAUCGGCCACACUGGGACUGAGACACGGCCCAGACUCCUACGGGAGGCAGCAGUAGGGAAUCUUCCACAAUGGACGAAAGUCUGAUGGAGCAACGCCGCGUGAGUGAAGAAGGUUUUCGGAUCGUAAAACUCUGUUGUAAGGGAAGAACACGUACGAGAGUAACUGCUCGUACCUUGACGGUACCUUAUUAGAAAGCCACGGCUAACUACGUG